rnacentral:rRNA from 1 species
GACGAACGCUGGCGGCGUGCUUAACACAUGCAAGUCGAACGGAAAGUCCCUGCUUUUGUGGGGUGCUCGAGUGGCGAACGGGUGAGUAACACGUGAGUAACCUGCCCUUGACUUUGGGAUAACUUCAGGAAACUCGGGCUAAUACCGGAUAGGAGCUCCUGCUGCAUGGUGGGGGUUGGAAAGUUUCGGCGGUUGGGGAUGGACUCGCGGCUUAUCAGCUUGUUGGUGGGGUAGUGGUUUACCAAGGCUUUGACGGGUAGCCGGCCUUAGAGGCUGACCGGCCCCACUGGGACUGGGAUACGGCCCAGGCUCAUCCCUGAGGCAGCAGUGGGGAAUAUAGCAUGAUGGGAGGAAGCCUGAUGCAGCAACGUCGCGUGGGGGAGGACGGCCUUCGGGUUGUGGGCCGCUUACGCCUGUGACGAAGCGUGAGUGACGGUAAUGGCUAAAGAAGCAAGGGCUAACUACGUG